CCUGCUGAUUUUGAAAAUUUGCCCACUGACAAAUAAAUGAGCAGUCUAUAAUUUAAUGGUAGGUGUAUUUUAACAGUGAGAGACAGAAUAACAAAAAAACAAAAUCCAGAAAAAUGCAUGUCAAAAAAGUUAUAAAUUAAUUUGCAUGUCAAUGAGUGAAAUAAGUAUUUGACCCCUUCAACUUAGUACUUGGUGGCAAAACCCUUGUUGGCAAUCACAGAGGUCAGACGUUUCUUGUAGCUGGCCACCAGGUUUUCAUACAUCUCAGGAGGAAUUUGUCCCACUCCUCUUUGCAGAUCCUUUCCAAGUCAUUAAGGUUUCAAGGCUGACGUUUAGCAACUUGAACCUUCAGCUCCCUCCACAGAUUUUCUAUGAGAUUAAGGUCUGGAGACUGGCUAGACCACUCCAGGACCUUAGUGUGCUUCUUCUUGAGCCACUCCUUUGUUGCCUUGGCUGUGUGUUUUGGUCAUUGUCAUGCUGGAAUACCCAUCCUCGACCCAUUUUCAAUGCCCUGGCCUAGGGAAGGAGGUUCGCACCCAAGAUUUAAAAAAAAUUUUUUUUUGUUAAUCUGUUUCGCACCCAAGAUUUGACGGUACAUGGCCCCGUCCAUCAUCCCUUUGAUGCGGUGCAGUCAGGGCCGGCCUUAGGGGUGUGCGAGCUGUGCGGCCGCACAGGGUGCCAUAGACCAGGGGGCGCCCUGACAGCUGACACAGAUCGCACAUGGCCGGCUGACAAGGUGUGACUCCAAUUGUGUGUGUCGCUGUACCUGUGCCGUUGUGUGUGCCUGUGCCUGUAUGUGUGACUAUCUGCCUUUAACUGAGUGUGUGUGUGCCUAUCAUAGUGCGUGAGUGUCUGCAUGCCUGUAACAGAGUGUGGCCCUGUCGUGGUUUCCCUUGUGGUUGUCCGAGAGCGCGUUAUUGAUUCUGAAAUCCUAGGUGGGGAUUACACCACCUACGCUGACAACAAAGAGCAGUCAGUCUGCUCUUCCUUUGUGAGUAUAUUUUUAAUUACCUAUCACGGAUAUUUUUAAUAGAGAGAGCACUAUUAGUUGUCUCUUUUCUCUUUCAUUUGAACAUUGGAUACACCACUGACGGAGGGAACCACCAUAUAUCCCAUAAGCGGGGAUUAUACCGCUAUAUGCGCUUCACACCAGAGCUGGAUUUAGCUCGGUCAAAUGUGAGUUCCCUACUAUUAUUUGAAUUCAGUGAUUUUAUUUGACCUUUACAUAUUGCACUAUUGGACUUCCUUUCUUCUUUUUUUUUUUUUUUACAUAUAAGUGGAUCAUUACACCAUUGAAAGACUUUGCCCCUGCACAGUACCCCAAGACAGCAUUGAGGACAUCAAGAUUGAAUUUCUCUGCACAUUAGGGACUCCCUUUUUAAAGGUUGCUGCCUGUCUGUUAAUUAGCGCUGACUCUUCAUUUUAUUGACUGUAACGGAGUGUGUAUGACUGUCUGCUUGUAAUGGAGUAUGUGUGGCUGUCUGCUUGUGACUGUGUGUGUGACUGUCUGCCUGUGACUGUGUGACUGUCUGCCUUUAACUGUGUGUUUGGCUCUGUGACUGUCUGCCUGCAACUGAGCAUGUGUGACUGUCUGCCUGUAACUGUGUGUGUGUGUGUGUGUGACUGUCUGCCUGUAACUGAGCGUGUUUGAUUCUGCUUGUGACUGUCUGCUUGUGCCUGUGUGUGUGACUGUAUACAGGCAUCUUUGGGGGGGAGGGGGGUGCCAUGAAGACUUUUCGCACAGGGUGCUUAAUUGCCUAAGGCAGGCCCUGGGUGCAGUUGUCCUGUCCUAUUAGUAGAAAAACACCCUCAAAGCAUAAUGUUUCCACCUCCAUGUUUGACGGUGGGGAUGGUGUUCUUGGGGUCAUAGGCAGCAUUCCUCCUCCUUCAAACACGGCAAGUUGGUGCCAAAGAGCUCAAUUUUGGUCUCAUCUGACCACAACACUUUCACCCAGUUCUCCUCUGAAUCACUCAGAUGUUUAUUGGCAAACUUUAGACGGGUCUGUACAUGUGCUUUCUUAAGCAGGGGGACCACGCGGGCGCUGCAGGAUUUCAGUACUUCAUGGCGUAGUGUGUUACCAAUUGUUUUCUUGGUGACUAUGGUCCCAGCUGCCUUGAGAUCAUUAACAAGAUCCUCCUGCGUAGUGCUGGGCGGAUUCCUCACUGUUCCCAUGAUCAUUGAAACUCCAUGAGGUGAGAUGUUGCAUGGAGCACCAGACUGAAGGAGACAGUUAUUUUGUGUUUCCUCCAUUUGCGAAAUAUCUUGGCGAUGGUCUUGUAGCCCAUUCCAGCCUUGUGUAGGUCUACAAUCAUGUCCCUGACAUCCUUGGACAGCUCUUUGGUCUUGGCCAUGGUGGAGAGUUUGGAAUCUGAUUGAUUGCUUCCCGGUGUCUUUUUAUAUAGGUAACGAGCUGAGAUUAGGAGCACUCCCUUUAAGAGAGUGCUCCUAAUCUCAUCUCGUUACCUGUAUAAAAGAAACCAGGGAGCCAAAACAUCUUGCUGAUUGAUAGGGGAUCAAAUACUUAUUUCACUUAUUGACACAAAUCAAUUUAUAACUUUUUUGACAUGCGUUUUUUUCUGGAUUUGUUUGUUUGUUUUUCUGUCUCUCACUGAUAAAAUAUACUUACCAUUAAACUUAUAUCAUUACUUUGUCAGUGGGCAAACGUUCAAAAUCAGCAGUGGAUCAAAUUCUUUUAUCCAUCACUGUAUAUAUAUAUAUAAUUGACAAUAAUAAUACAGUAACUGUGGAUUAUAUGACAACUAAAACUUCUGCUUAAGGGCUACUUUAUGCCCAGGUGACUUUCCACUAGCUGUGGCAUUUAGGAAUAGAAAGUUUACAAUCCAGUAUAGUGCAUGUAAGUUACAAUUUGCAGAAAAUAAGUGACAUACAAUGCAGCUUCCUAAUGCACAAUCAUUAAUAGUGGAGGAGCACUCUAGGGUUUUGCAAAUAAAUGUCAGUCAUUUAUUGUUCACUCACAGUUCCAUCAACCUUUUAGAUCUUACAAGGUUCUUUAUCAAGCUUGAUCCAUUUAAAAUCCUACAAUCAAAGUAACAUAAUGCAUACCUGCCUCUGCUUUAGCUAUAAAGGAAAGCUAAACCUUUUUUUUCAUAGUUACCCAGCCUAGGUUUAUUGUUUUAGUCUGUAGUCACAUGGUGUAGAGGGUUGACAACUAACAGGAAACUAUGGUGUAAAAAAAUCUAUUAAAUGUUAUAUAGGCGGAAGGCAGGUGCCUCGCUGUCUGAUGAUUGAGAGCCAUGUUGGUGUUUCUGCCCUUAAUUAUAAAAGUGCAUAAUUUCUAUUGAAGGCCUUGAUUUAAUCAUGUUGAAUAAGCUUUUCAAAUUAUUUUAUAUUUUUGGAUAAACUUUUCAAAUGAAUUGUUUUUUUGAUACAUUUUCCAUUUUUAUAUUUUAAUAUUUUGCAAAAAUAUGAAACUAUUUGAAAACCUUAUCCACAAAUAUAAAGUUGAGGCCGAUAUUGGCACUUUUAUAAACUGUCACAAAUGUGACAGGCUCCAGAUACAUAAAGCACUUCAGCAAGUCUAUGUGCUUUAUGUGUGAGGAUUGUACCUUUAAGAAUAAAUUGUUUUGUGACCCUUUCUAUUAUAUCUACUGCUGGUUAUCCAUGUUGCAAAAUCUUUUGAAAUAAACCCAC